rnacentral:tRNA from 1 species
AUUUAAAUAGCUUAAAUUUAGAGCAUAGCAUUGAAGAUGCUGGGGUAAUAUAAUUAUUUUUAAAUA